rnacentral:rRNA from 1 species
CUAAGUUUGAUGGCGGCCGGCGCACGGGUGAGUAACACGUAUCCAACCUGCCGAUGACUCGGGGAUAGCCUUUCGAAAGAAAGAUUAAUACCCGAUGGCAUAGUUCUUCCGCAUGGUGGAACUAUUAAAGAAUUUCGGUCAUCGAUGGGGAUGCGUUCCAUUAGGUUGUUGGCGGGGUAACGGCCCACCAAGCCUUCGAUGGAUAGGGGUUCUGAGAGGAAGGUCCCCACAUUGGAACUGAGACACGGUCCAAACUCCUACGGGAGGCAGCAUG